GCUUCUGAAUCUCAAUGAACCAUUUGCCCUACUAUCACAUUUGGAUUAUGUGGUCAGCAUGCACCUUGCCAUCCUUUCUCAUUAAUGAUGAUGACAAUGACUUCCCCUCCAUCUCGAUCUUAAUCUCAAUUGAUCAAUCAAUGGGAUGAAGGUAUAAGAGCUUAGUCUACCAAAAAUAGCUCAACUUCUCAUAUCAUCAUUACAAAUUUGUUAUAGGCAUUAAGAAGUUGCUUAGCUGCACUUACAAUGGCAAUUAAUGUUAUCUUGGGCUUUGGAGGUGUUGAUCAUAAUUCUUCCCAUCCUUUAUAAGUUGAUACUUCUUCUACUGCUUAUAGAAGGUUACAUCUCAGUCCCAAAGAUUUAGGCUCCUAAGGAUGGCUUAGUAAACAUCCAAAGAAACUACUUCUAAAGUUACCUUAUCAAUGUACCUUUCAGUAAUUAUGAAUUUAAAGAUAUAUAACUUGGUA
rnacentral:lncRNA from 1 species